UCGGGAAUUUUGGGCAAUGGGCGAAAGCCUGACCCAGCAACGCCGCGUGAAGGAUGAAGUAUUUCGGUAUGUAAACUUCGUAAGAAUAGGAAGAAUAAAUGACGGUACUAUUUGUAAGGUCCGGCUAACUACGUGCCAGCAGCCGCGGUAAUACGUAGGGACCAAGCGUUGUUCGAAUUUACUGGGCGUAAAGGGCGCGUAGGCGGUGUGUCAAGUCAGUUGUGAAAUCUCCGAGCUUAACUCGGAACGGUCAACUGAUACUGUCACACUAGAGUACAGAAGGGGCAAUCGGAAUUCUUGGUGUAGCGGUGAAAUGCGUAGAUAUCAAGAGGAACACCUGAGGCGAAGGCGGGUUGCUGGGCUGAUACUGACGCUGAGGCGCGAAAGCUAGGGUAGCAAACGGGAUUAGAUACCCUCGUAGUCCCUGAGCGGGCUGGCAAGGCGCAU
rnacentral:rRNA from 1 species